rnacentral:rRNA from 1 species
GACGAACGCUGGCGGCGUGCUUAACACAUGCAAGUCGAACGGUAAGGCCCUUCGGGGUACACGAGUGGCGAACGGGUGAGUAACACGUGGGUGAUCUGCCCUGCACUUCGGGAUAAGCCUGGGAAACUGGGUCUAAUACCGGAUAGGACCACUGCCUGCAUGGGUGGUGGUGGAAAGCUUUUGCGGUGUGGGAUGGGCCCGCGGCCUAUCAGCUUGUUGGGGGGGUGAUGGCCUACCAAGGCGACGACGGGUAGCCGGCCUGAGAGGGUGACCGCGCACAGUGGGACUGAGAUACGGCCCAGACGCCUACGGGAGGCAGCGGGGGGGAAUAUUGCACAAUGGGCGCAAGCCUGAUGCAGCGGCGCCGCGUGAGGGAUGACGGCCUUCGGGUUGUAAACCUCUUUCAGCACCGACGAAGCGCAAGUGACGGUAGGUGCAGAAGAAGGACCGGCCAACUACGUGCCAGCCGCCGCAGUAA